rnacentral:rRNA from 1 species
UACGUAUGGGGCAAGCGUUAUCCGGAUUUACUGGGUGUAAAGGGCGUGUAGGCGGGAGUGCAAGUCAGAUGUGAAAACUAUGGGCUCAACCCAUAGCCUGCAUUUGAAACUGUACUUCUUGAGUGCUGGAGAGGCAAUCGGAAUUCCGUGUGUAGCGGUGAAAUGCGUAGAUAUACGGAGGAACACCAGUGGCGAAGGCGGAUUGCUGGACAGUAACUGACGCUGAGGCGCGAAAGCGUGGGGAGCAAACAGG